CCUACGGGUGGCAGCAGUGAGGAAUAUUGGUCAAUGGGCUUACGCCUGAACCAGCCAAGUCGCGUGAGGGAAGACUGCCCUAUGGGUUGUAAACCUCUUUUGUCAGGGAGCAACGCCGGCUACGUGUAGCCGGACUGAGAGUACCUGAAGAAAAAGCAUCGGCUAACUCCGUGCCAGCAGCCGCGGUAAUACGGAGGAUGCGAGCGUUAUCCGGAGUUAUUGGGUUUAAAGGGUGCGUAGGCGGAAUGCCAAGUCAGCGGUAAAAUCGCGGGGCUCAACCUCGCUCCGCCGUUGAAACUGGCGUUGUUGAGUGUGCGAGAAGUAUGCGGAAUGCGUGGUGUAGCGGUGAAAUGCAUAGAUAUCACGCAGAACUCCGAUUGCGAAGGCAGUAUACCGGCGCCCAACUGACGCUGAAGCACGAAAGCGUGGGUAUCGAACAGGAUUAGAUACCCGUGUAGUC
rnacentral:rRNA from 1 species